UUAUUUUGACAGCUGGUUAUCGUUUGUGUUUCAUGUCUAAUUUGAAUUCCUUUGCCUCAUUGUCGGGAUUGUUGUCAGCUGUGCUACGCAGGUGUUUCCAUUCCCCUGAUUGUCCCUCACAGUAUGUCUUGUGUGCGUUUGGAUCCUCAAUCCUGUAUUUUGUGACAGUAUUAUAAAAACUGAAGCAUAGCCAUCAUUCGUCACUGCAGAUGAAGCUGUUGGAUUUCAAAGCUGUUCAUUUUCCAACCUGUACAUCGGAAUCAGACUUCAAUCAGUCAAUCAAUCAGGCUUCCAGCGAUGAGGAAUGUGGCAACAAAAAGCACAAAAGCAUCACUUUUAAGUAGCAGUCAUCUGCUGGUGUAAGAUGUGGUCCUAAUAAUAGUUUCUCCUCGACAGUAACACUGUUCUCUAAAGACACUCUGCACACCCAGAAACCUGAAGUUUGCAUAUGGGGCUCUGCAGAAGAUUAGCACAACAGUUUCAAAAACUGCUUCUUCCUCUGGGUAAAAGAAGAGACCACCUAAAUAUUAUGAUCAGGCUACUUUUUCUUGCUUUCUUAAAAAAAUCAUUUUUCUUUUUCCAUUGCUGGGACGUUCUCAUAACACUGUGUACUUUUAUAUCACAGAAUACCAUGGAUGUUAGAUUAGGUGCUGUGUUGUAAGAGCAAAUUAAAACAGUGAAUUUGUGUGUUAUUAGAAUUAUUAAUAUUAUCAAUGUGUAAAGUUCAGAAUGUAACUGAGGGGAAACUUUAUAGAAGGACAUCGCCAUGGUAGGGUUCAGCAUGCAUGCAUGCAUUCAUUGAUGUUUCCUUAGAAACCAGUUGUACUUAUUAGUUUAGUUUGCGUGUUAUGUACACACACACACCGGUUGCUUUAUUAGGUACGCUUUGCAAGUAUCAGGUUGAACCCUUUUUGCCUUCAGAAUUACCUUAAUUCCUUCAUAUCCAAAAGCUGCCCUACUGUAUUGAGAUCUGGUGACUGCAGAGGUCGUUUGUCUACAGUGAACUCAUUGUCGUGUUCAUGAAACCAGCUUGAGAUUAUUCGAAAUUUGUGACAUGGUUUGUUUAUGUGUUUUGACUUUAAAUGAUGCUCAUUGUGGCACUCAGUUUCCUAUUCUUUGCUGACAGGAGUGUAGUCUUCUGCUGCUAUAACCCUGCUUUAAGGUAUUUAGAGAUGUUCUU